AUUGAACGCUGGCGGCAGGCCUAACACAUGCAAGUCGAGCGGAUGAAGAGAGCUUGCUCUCUGAUUCAGCGGCGGACGGGUGAGUAAUGCCUAGGAAUCUGCCUGGUAGUGGGGGACAACGUUUCGAAAGGAACGCUAAUACCGCAUACGUCCUACGGGAGAAAGUGGGGGAUCUUCGGACCUCACGCUAUCAGAUGAGCCUAGGUACGAUUAGCUAGUUGGUGAGGUAAAGGCUCACCAAGGCGACGAUCGUUAACCGGUCUGAGAGGAUGAUCAGUCACACUGGAACUGAGACACGGUCCAGACUCCUACGGGAGGCAGCAGUGGGGAAUAUUGGACAAUGGGCGAAAGCCUGAUCCAGCCAUGCCGCGUGUGUGAAGGAGGUCUUCGGAUUGUAAAGCACUUUAAGUUGGGAGGAAGGGCAGUAAGUUAAUACCUUGCUGUUUUGACGUUACCGACAGAAUAAGCACCGGCUAACUUCGUGCCAGCCGCCGCCGUAAGAC
rnacentral:rRNA from 1 species